rnacentral:ncRNA from 1 species
CAUAGAAUUUGUACUUGAUUUAUCUAGAUAAAUUAUUAGUAUCUGUCUUUAGGAGCAGUCCUUUAGGUAUGAUCCCAGCUUUAAAACCAUCGCUAUUGGAGGUCGCCGCUGAUUCUCAGGUCGGGCUGAUCCAUGAAAUGGUGAUGACCUAAUGUCUGGUACAUUU